UGUUCUGUCCCCUGCACCCUGGGCGGGCGGCUGUUAAGACUUGCAGUGAUGUUUAACUCCUCUCCACGUGAACAUCACAGCAAGUCUGUGCUGCUUCCCGUCCCCAUGCUGCCUGGGCAGGGU
ensembl:miRNA